AAUACAAUCUAAGGACGCUAUUAUUACAAACGAAUAGACAACCUUUGUCCUUUACCAAUUGAGAAAUUGGCUCAUAUUGUUACAUAUCUUAACUUUUAUUGUUUUCAGUAAUUGUAUUGGCGAGCUUAGUGCUCGCCGUUUUUUUGUCUAUCAAUAAUCCUUUCUGCACUUCCCGUAUCUUAUGAGACCAUGAUCAUUCUUCCAUUAUGAAAUAAGGCUUUAUCGA
rnacentral:misc_RNA from 1 species